GGCUAAGUAAUUAUCGGAUAAUAAUUGUUUUGAAAGCAUUAUAAAGAGGUUCAACUCCUCUCUAGGCCU
rnacentral:tRNA from 1 species